AACGUAGGAGACAAACGUUAUCCGGAGUUAUUGGGCGUAAAGAGCGUGUAGGCGGCCAUGUAGGUCCGGUGUGAAAACUCGAGGCUUAACCUCGAGAUGUCAUCGGAAACCAUUUGGCUAGAGUCCGGAAGAGGAGAGUGGAAUUCCUGGUGUAGCGGUGAAAUGCGCAGAUAUCAGGAAGAACACCAAUGGCGAAAGCAGUUCUCUGGGACGGUACUGACGCUGAGACGCGAAAGCGUGGGGAGCGAACAGG
rnacentral:rRNA from 1 species